UGGCGGCGUGCUUAACACAUGCAAGUCGAACGAUGAUGCCCAAGCUUGCUGGGUCGGAUUAGUGGCGAACGGGUGAGUAACACGUGAGUAACCUGCCCUUCACUCUGGGAUAACUCCGGGAAACCGGGGCUAAUACUGGAUAUGACUCCUCCUCGCAUGGGGUGGGAGUGGAAAGCUUUUGUGGUGGAGGAUGGACUCGCGGCCUAUCAGCUUGUUGGUGAGGUAGUGGCUCACCAAGGCGACGACGGGUAGCCGGCCUGAGAGGGCGACCGGCCACACUGGGACUGAGACACGGCCCAGACUCCUACGGGAGGCAGCAGUGGGGAAUAUUGCACAAUGGGCGAAAGCCUGAUGCAGCGACGCCGCGUGAGGGAUGAAGGCCUUCGGGUUGUAAACCUCU
rnacentral:rRNA from 1 species